GCAUUUUAAAUUCUAUUUUCAAUUUUUAAAAAAUUGACAUCCAGAGAAGCUGCAUUUUUAACCGAUUCCCCAGGGGAUGCCACUGGUCUGGGAAGCCCGCCUUGAGAACCACCGUUUCGGACCAAAAUCUCGGCAGGAGACGCCAAAUGAUCAAAGGAAUCUUUAACAUCAGCUAAGCCCAUCUAGGAAAAGCAAAUGCCACGCUUCUCGUGAGUCAUCCUGAGUCAGCCUCGCUGCAAAGCUCAGGCCGCCUCCGUUAUUCAUUCGUCAAACCAUUUCCGGCAGGGGCAGGGCCAGCUGGUCUUGGCGACGGCUUCUGGCCAAAACGUGCUCAGAAACAAAAGCCCGUGGGCUCCCCUCCAGGAGGAAUGUUCCAGACUCAAAGAGAACCCGGACAGAGAGUCUAUCUGUGGGAUUAAAUCUCAUGGGGACUGAUCAGGAACAAAGGAAAUGCCCGAAAAGGCUCUUCGGGAAGGUCUUGUGAAUGACCCUGCAUCCCUCCAAAAGACGUGUCGACGUCCUAACCCCUCAGUGUCUGCGAACGUGGUCUUGUUUGGAAACAGGGUCUCGGGGGGGUGGAACCAAGUUAAGAUGAGGUCGUUCGCGUGUGUCCAGAUCCGAUAAGACGGGUGGUCCUUGGACGAAGGGGACAGGGCCACGUGAAGACGUGUCCGUGAGCCAAGGAGCAUCUGGCAUGACUGGUCACAGUUGGAGGGGAGGGGACCAGGGCGCUGCCCACACCUUCCUUUCAGACCUCCAGCUUCGGGAACCGUGACAGAGUAAAUUCCUGCUGUUUCAGGCACCCAGGUGGCGGUCCUUUAUUUCAGCCACUGCGGGGAAACUAGCCAGGGCGUGACAGUGGAGAAACGGUUCAGAACCACUGACCUCGACCCUGAGAUGGGUUUGAGGAUGGACAUGAUAAACACAGAGUGCCGAGCACCGAGCCUGCCACACGGUCACGGGAGGCACUUCAUACAUGUCAGCUGUCACCAGGCUCCCCUACUGGUUCCGGCCCACGGAAGAGUAAAUCGUGACCCGUAAAGGA